rnacentral:piRNA from 1 species
UAAACAGUGUAAGGAUCCUGUUCAAUCCAU